rnacentral:misc_RNA from 1 species
UACGUAGGUGGCAAGCGUUAGUCGGAAUUACUGGGCGUAAAGCGUGCGCAGGCGGUUCUAUAAGACAGAUGUGAAAUCCCCGGGCUCAACCUGGGAACUGCAUUUGUGACUGUAGAGCUGGAGUGCGGCAGAGGGGGAUGGAAUUCCGCGUGUAGCAGUGAAAUGCGUAGAUAUGCGGAGGAACACCGAUGGCGAAGGCAAUCCCCUGGGCCUGCACUGACGCUCAUGCACGAAAGCGUGGGGAGCAAACAGG